CUUCUUUGCUGGCGACCGGCGCACGGGUGAGUAACACGUAUCCAACCUGCCCUUUACUCGGGGAUAGCCUUUCGAAAGAAAGAUUAAUACCCGAUAGCAUAAUGAUUCCGCAUGGUUUCAUUAUUAAAGGAUUCCGGUAAAGGAUGGGGAUGCGUUCCAUUAGGUUGUUGGUGAGGUAACGGCCCACCAAGCCUUCGAUGGAUAGGGGUUCUGAGAGGAAGGUCCCCCACAUUGGAACUGAGACACGGCCCAA
rnacentral:rRNA from 1 species